CUCGGAGCAAGAAAGAAGCAGCUGCGAGAGGGAGGAAGCAGGUCCUUUCCCAUGGUGGGACAUGUCUGUGGCUGAGAAGCUUAACUGCGGAGUCCUGCAGGGGGAACAGAACAGAGAAGGUGAGGAUGUAUGUAUGGAGCUCUGGAAGGGUGAGUGAGGAGGGGGCUGCAAAUCCUCCACCAAAGCUGUCCUUUCUGAGAAUGGCUCUUUAAAGUGGGGAGGGGGCAGAAUGGGGGAGGCAGAUGAUCCACUGGUAGUGUUUGUUCUGUCAGGGGACAAGAUGGGGGCCGAAUUAGCAGAACAUACACAGAAAACAAAUAUCUUUUAAUUCUCGCUUUUUUUAUAUUUAUCCCCAUAUCGACUUCCCAUUUUUGUUUCAGAGUCUCCAUUAUUUUGGAUUAGGUUCCCAUUACAAAUUUAUAUUCUUGAUAUAAUCUCUCGGCUCCCUUUUCUUUUCUUUUCAAUUCCAUUCCCUUUUCAGAAUCAUUUAGUUUCUUUAGUUUGUGUUUCACUCAAAUAUUUUUCUAAUGCAAGUAACUGAGUGCUUUUACCCUCCCCUUUAAUUCCAUGAACCAUAUCUGAUUAUUUCUGUUAUCAUAAAGUUUCCUAAUGUUUCUUAUACCAUACAUAGAUUUCUAAAUCCAUUACUUUUACAAUCUGGAGCUCAGCACUGUUAUUAUAAAAUGAAGGAAGCCUCCAGUUUCCUUCUGUUUGGUGCUUGGACAGAAAACGUAUUUCCCUUCUUUAUCUAAAUAUACUUUUUUUCCACCAACACCUUAUUAAUCAAUUUAUAGUUGAUAAAGGUUUUGCUAAUUUCUAGGUAAUACUAUUCCUAAAUAUUUUAUAUUUUUACUGUUUUUAAUCCAGCUGUCUUCCUAAUUUCAAUUUCAUCCAUUGGUGGAACAUUUAUAUAUAAUGCAUUUGAUUUAUUCAUAUUUACUUUCAAAUCUGACAACUUCUGACAACUUCCUAAUAUCCCUUUUAAUAUUAACUAACUGAUUUCCCUAUAGGCUUUACAAAAGGUGGCAGGAAAACCAUUACAUGUUGGCACUUCAGCUGUGACAGUAUUCCCCCAAAGGUACUCAAUAAACUCCAUAAAGAAAGAAAAAUUACCUGCCGGCUGAGCAACAGCAUAUGCUGGGGAGAAGAAAAAGAGAUAGAAAGUGAAUCCGGCGGCCAGAAAUACCAGGCCCAGGACAAUCCCCACAACUCCUGUCCACAUCUUGCUCCUGGCCGAAUCUGACUGGGCCUCUGCAGAAAACCAACACCC
rnacentral:lncRNA from 1 species